rnacentral:misc_RNA from 1 species
CGCACAUUGCGCCCCUUGGUAUUCCAUGGGGCAUGCCUGUUCGAGCGUCAUUUAUACCUUCAAGCUUUGCUUGGUGUUGGGUGUUUGUUCAUGCCCUUUUGUGCAUGGACUCGCCUUAAAUUCAUUGGCAGUCGGCAAUCUGGCGUCAGAGCGCAGCACAUUUUGCGCUCUUCGCCGUGCAUUGCGGCGUCCAUAAAGCCUAUAUUCUAGCGCUUGACCUCGGAUCAGGUAGGGAUACCCGCUGAACUUAA